GUAGGGAAUCUUCGGCAAUGGACGAAAGUCUGACCGAGCAACGCCGCGUGAGUGAAGAAGGUUUUCGGAUCGUAAAACUCUGUUGGUAGAGAAGAACGUUGGUGAGAGUGGAAAGCUCAUCAAGUGACGGUAACUACCCAGAAAGGGACGGCUAACUACGUGCCAGCAGCCGCGGUAAUACGUAGGUCCCAAGCGUUGUCCGGAUUUAUUGGGCGUAAAGCGAGCGCAGGUGGUUUAUUAAGUCUGGUGUAAAAAGCAGUGGAUCAACCAUUGUAUGCAUUGGAAGCUGGUAGACUGGAGUGCAGGAGAGGAGAGUGGAAUUCCAUGUGUAGCGGUGAAAAGCGUAGAUAUAUGGAGGAACACCGGAGGCGAAAGCGGCUCUCUGGCCUGUAACUGACACUGAGGCUCGAAAGCGUGGGGAGCAAACAGGAUUAGAAACCCGGGUAGUCC
rnacentral:rRNA from 1 species